UACGUAGGGGGCUAGCGUUGUCCGGAUUUAUUGGGCGUAAAGAGCUCGUAGGCGGUCUGUCGCGUCGGCUGUGAAAACCCGGAGCUCAACUCCGGGCCUGCAGUCGAUACGGGCAAACUGGAGUGUUGCAGGGGAGACUGGAAUUCCUGGUGUGCGGUGAAAUGCGCAGAUAUCAGGAGGAACACCGGUGGCGAAAGGCAGGGUCUCUGGG
rnacentral:rRNA from 1 species